rnacentral:rRNA from 1 species
GAUCAGUGAGAACAUCCCUGGCAAAUGCUUUCGCAGUGGUUCGUCUUCCGCUGGUCUAAGAAUUUCACCUCUCUCGGCGGAAUACGAGUGCCCCUGACUGUCCCUGUUAAUCAUUACUUCGGUGUUCGAAACCAACAAAAUAGCACCAAAGUCCUAUUUCAUUAUCCCAUGCUAAUCCAUGCAAAAGCGAAAUUCCAGCUCCAAUAGCGUAUAUUAAAGUUGUUGCAGUUAAAAAGCUCGUAGUUGAACUUUGGGCUUGGAGAAUCGGUCCAACUUUGUUGUGUACUGUCUUCUCCAGGUCUUUCCUUCUGGUUCUCAUUUGGGGUUUACUCCAUUUGUUGAUCCAGGAUUUUUACUUUGAAAAAAUUAGAGUGUUCAAAGCAGGCGUUUUGCUCGAAUAUAUUAGCAUGGAAUAAUAGAAUAGGACGAUUGGUUCUAUUUUGUUGGUUUCUAGGACCAUCGUAAUGAUUAAUAGGGACGGUCGGGGGCAUCAGUAUUCAGUUGUCAGAGGUGAAAUUCUUGGAUUUACUGAAGACUAACUACUGCGAAAGCAUUUGUCAAGGACGUUUUCAUUAAUCAAGAACGAAAGUUAGGGGAUCGAAGAUGAUCAGAUACCGUCGUAGUCUUAACCAUAAACUAUGCCGACUAGGGAUCGGGCGGUGCCUUUUAUUGGCCCACUCGGCACCUUACGAGAAAUCAAAGUUUUUGGGUUCUGGGGGGAGUAUGGUCGCAAGGCUGAAACUUAAAGGAAUUGACGGAAGGGCACCACCAGGAGUGGAGCCUGCGGCUUAAUUUGACUCAACACGGGGAAACUCACCAGGUCCAGACACAAUAAGGAUUGACAGAUUGAGAGCUCUUUCUUGAUUUUGUGGGUGGUGGUGCAUGGCCGUUCUUAGUUGGUGGAGUGAUUUGUCUGCUUAAUUGCGAUAACGAACGAGACCUUAGCCCUUAAAUAGAGUUGCUGGCAUUUGCUGGUAAAUCUUCUUAUGGGGACUAUCGAUUUCAAGUCGAUGGAAGUUUGAGGCAAUAACAGGUCUGUGAUGCCCUUAGACGUUCUGGGCCGCACGCGCGCUACACUGACGGAGCCAGCGAGCUUUUCCUUAGCCGAGAGGUUUGGGUAAUCUUGUGAAACUCCGUCGUGCUGGGGAUAGAGCAUUGUAAUUAUUGCUCUUCAACGAGGAAUUCCUAGUAAGCGCAAGUCAUCAGCUUGCGUUGAUUACGUCCCUGCCCUUUGUACACACCGCCCGUCGCUAGUACCGAUUGAAUGGCUUAGUGAGGCUUCAGGAUUUGCUUAGAUCGAGGGGCAACUCUCUUUCAGAGCGGAGAAUCUAGUCAAACUUGGUCAUUUAGAGGAACUAAAAGUCGUAACAAGGUUUCCGUAGGUGAACCUGCGGAAG